UACGGGAGGCAGCAGUGGGGAAUAUUGCACAAUGGGCGCAAGCCUGAUGCAGCCAUGCCGCGUGUAUGAAAAAGGCCUUCGGGUUGUAAAGUACUUUCAGUCGUGAGGAAGGUGUUAAGGUUAAUAACCUUAGCAAUUGACGUUAGCGACAGAAGAAGCACCGGCUAACUCCGUGCCAGCAGCCGCGGUAAUACGGAGGGUGCGAGCGUUAAUCGGAAUUACUGGGCGUAAAGGGCACGCAGGCGGUUAAUUAAGUUGGAUGUGAAAUCCCCGGGCUUAACCUGGGAAUGGCAUUCAAGACUGGUUAGCUAGAGUCUUGUAGAGGGGGUAGAAUUCCAUGUGUAGCGGUGAAAUGCGUAGAGAUGUGGAGGAAUACCGGUGGCGAAGGCGGCCCCGUGGACAAAGGCUGACGCUCAUGUGCGAAAGCGUGGGGAGCAAACGAGGGAUUAGAUACCC
rnacentral:rRNA from 1 species